rnacentral:lncRNA from 1 species
CUUCUUAUUACUUGGUCAAAACAAAAUUUCAUAGAUCAUCCCACACAUAGUGUUUAGUAUCACUCUUCAACUUAUCUCUUUGAAAUUUAGAAAAUUCAAUAGGUCACUCACUUAAUAAUUCACAAUAUUUGCAUAUCAUGGUAGUUCUUUAUCAAUGGAUAAUAGGUGCUCAUUUGGAAAAGAAUCAUGCAAUGACAGUGCCUCUUCAUCCUUAAUCAGUCUGCUCAAAUGAUC